UGGGGAAUAUUGCACAAUGGGCGAAAGCCUGAUGCAGCGACGCCGCGUGAGGGAUGACGGCCUUCGGGUUGUAAACCUCUUUCGCUCAUGGUCAAGCCGCAGCUUUGGGUUGUGGUGAGGGUAGUGGGUAAAGGAGCGCCGGCUAACUACGUGCCAGCAGCCGCGGUAAUACGUAGGGCGCGAGCGUUGUCCGGAAUUAUUGGGCGUAAAGGGCUUGUAGGCGGUUGGUCGCGUCUGCCGUGAAAUCCUCUGGCUUAACUGGGGGCGUGCGGUGGGUACGGGCUGACUUGAGUGCGGUAGGGGAGACUGGAACUCCUGGUGUAGCGGUGGAAUGCGCAGAUAUCAGGAAGAACACCGGUGGCGAAGGCGGGUCUCUGGGCCGUUACUGACGCUGAGGAGCGAAAGCGUGGGGAGCGAACAGGAUUAGAUACCCUGGUAGUCCACGCUGUAAACGUUGGGCACUAGGUGUGGGGGCCACCCGUGGUUUCUGCGCCGUAGCUAACGCUUUAAGUGCCCCGCCUGGGGAGUACGGCCGCAAGGCUA
rnacentral:rRNA from 1 species